rnacentral:lncRNA from 1 species
UGAGCUGUGACGUCCCCUGCAGAAAGAUGCCGGUACUCCGGUCUGCGCUGGUAGAUGUACUCUGCGUACUCAUCCAUCCAUACCUCAGCCACCCGCUUCAGAUUUCUUGCCAGGCUGACUCCUGUUGGAACCUUGUAAGGAACAUAUUUUCUGUAGAUAUGACCAACUCUAGAGCAAGGGAUGUCCUCCAUACGACCUCCACACAUCCAUACCUUAAAGGAUAUUUCAUACUGCUCUCCUCCCCAUAUCUCCAGACCUGCAUCAUACCCUCCCAGCUCCCAGAACCACUUUCUAUCGACUGCAAACAGUCCUCCAGCCAUUACAGGAGACCUUAAGGAAAAACCAGACUCCAUAUUACAAACAUAUUCAAAGACACAGAUCUCCAGCUAAAUAUUUAAAAAACAAAGCAAGAUUUCACAAAUAUUCUUUCCAUCACCCAGUGUUCACGGUGCAUUUGAAGUCCUUUAGGAACGAGCAAUUGUUUUUGCAUUAGCUAUUAAUUUCCCAGUGGCAAGUGGAGGACUAGACUAGGCUCCUUUCAGAACCAGUAAAUGCC